rnacentral:rRNA from 1 species
GGGGAAUAUUGCACAAUGGGGGAAACCCUGAUGCAGCGACGCCGCGUGGAGGAAGAAGGUCUUCGGAUUGUAAACUCCUGUUGUUGAGGAAGAUAAUGACGGUACUCAACAAGGAAGUGACGGCUAACUACGUGCCAGCAGCCGCGGUAAAACGUAGGUCACAAGCGUUGUCCGGAAUUACUGGGUGUAAAGGGAGCGCAGGCGGGAAGACAAGUUGGAAGUGAAAUCUAUGGGCUCAACCCAUAAACUGCUUUCAAAACUGUUUUUCUUGAGUAGUGCAGAGGUAGGCGGAAUUCCCGGUGUAGCGGUGGAAUGCGUAGAUAUCGGGAGGAACACCAGUGGCGAAGGCGGCCUACUGGGCACCAACUGACGCUGAGGCUCGAAAGUGUGGGUAGCAAACAGGAUUAGAUACCCUGGUAGUCCACACCGUAAACGGUGAUUACUAGGUGUUGGAGGAUUGACCCCUUCAGUGCCGCAGUUAACACAAUAAGUAAUCCACCUGGGGAGUACGACCGCAAGGUUGAAACUCAAAGGAAUUGACGGGGGCCCGCACAAGCAGUGGAGUAUGUGGUUUAAUUCGACGCAACGCGAAGAACCUUACCAAGUCUUGACAUCCUGCGACGAUGCUGGAAACAGUAUUUUCCUUCGGGACACAGAGACAGGUGGUGCAUGGUUGUCGUCAGCUCGUGUCGUGAGAUGUUGGGUUAAGUCCCGCAACGAGCGCAACCCUUACUGUCAGUUACUACGCAAGAGGACUCUGGCAGGACUGCCGUUGACAAAACGGAGGAAGGUGGGGAUGACGUCAAAUCAUCAUGCCCUUUAUGACUUGGGCUACACACGUACUACAAUGGCGUUAAACAAAGAGAAGCAAGACCGCGAGGUGGAGCAAAACUCAGAAACAACGUCCCAGUUCGGACUGCAGGCUGCAACUCGCCUGCACGAAGUCGGAAUUGCUAGUAAUCGUGGAUCAGCAUGCCACGGUGAAUACGUUCCCG